rnacentral:lncRNA from 1 species
GGGGAAGUUGCCCAAGACAGCCCAACUGUUUGGUAAUGAGUGGAGUGUCUGUGGCAGAGUCUUAAUUGAAGAACUAGCUAUUAAGUAAGAGGCUCUUGUUAUGUUCCAGUGACCAUGUAAGUGAAGAAAUCAGAAAGCAGGGUAGAGAUGAAAACCUGGGAAGAAGACAUCCUGGAACUCAAGACCACAGAGAAAGUUUGCAAAAUCUGGAAUCUCUUAGGCUCUUUGGUAUCGGAAAUGUUUAACAUGAAGAGAUGUUCUACACAUCAGAUAUCCACACAUUUCUGAUAAAAUCUUAGGUAAAGUCUUUACAUAUAGUAUAAACUAAAAAGUAUGAAAUCAGUCUUGUUAAAUGGAAUGAUUUUAAUGUAUUAUUUAAUUGUAUUUUUUUUUUCUAUGUGGACAAAUCAAACUUUGUUUCCUG